rnacentral:rRNA from 1 species
AGCGAACGCUGGCGGCAGGCCUAACACAUGCAAGUCGAACGGAUCCUUCGGGAUUAGUGGCGGACGGGUGAGUAACACGUGGGAACGUGCCCUUUGGUUCGGAACAACUCAGGGAAACUUGAGCUAAUACCGGAUGUGCCCUUCGGGGGAAAGAUUUAUCGCCAUUGGAUCGGCCCGCGUCUGAUUAGCUAGUUGGUGAGGUAACGGCCCACCAAGGCGACGAUCAGUAGCUGGUCUGAGAGGAUGAUCAGCCACACUGGGACUGAGACACGGCCCAGACUCCUACGGGAGGCAGCAGUGGGGAAUCUUGCGCAAUGGGCGAAAGCCUGACGCAGCCAUGCCGCGUGAAUGAUGAAGGUCUUAGGAUUGUAAAAUUCUUUCAGCGGGGACGAUAAUGACGGUACCCGCAGAAGAAGCUCCGGCUAACUUCGUG